rnacentral:rRNA from 1 species
AGUAAACGCUGGCGGUAGGCCUAACACAUGCAAGUCGAACGGCAGCACAGUAAGAGCUUGCUCUUACGGGUGGCGAGUGGCGGACGGGUGAGGAAUACAUCGGAAUCUACUUUUUCGUGGGGGAUAACGUAGGGAAACUUACGCUAAUACCGCAUACGACCUACGGGUGAAAGCGGGGAUCUUCGGACCUUGCGCGAUUGAAUGAGCCGAUGUCGGAUUAGCUAGUUGGCGGGGUAAAGGCCCACCAAGGCGACGAUCCGUAGCUGGUCUGAGAGGAUGAUCAGCCACACUGGAACUGAGACACGGUCCAGACUCCUACGGGAGGCAGCAGUGGGGAAUAUUGGACAAUGGGCGCAAGCCUGAUCCAGCCAUACCGCGUGGGUGAAGAAGGCCUUCGGGUUGUAAAGCCCUUUUGUUGGGAAAGAAAAGCAGCAGGUUAAUACCCCGCUGUUCUGACGGUACCCAAAGAAUAAGCACCGGCUAACUUCGUG